rnacentral:rRNA from 1 species
UACGUAGGGUGCAAGCGUUAAUCGGAAUUACUGGGCGUAAAGCGUGCGCAGGCGGUUGUGUAAGACAGGUGUGAAAUCCCCGGGCUUAACCUGGGAAUUGCAUUUGUGACUGCACGGCUAGAGUUUGGCAGAGGGGGGUAGAAUUCCACGUGUAGCAGUGAAAUGCGUAGAUAUGUGGAGGAAUACCGAUGGCGAAGGCAGCCCCCUGGGUCAAGACUGACGCUCAUGCACGAAAGCGUGGGGAGCAAACAGGAUUAGAUACCCCAGUAGUCC